UAACAUGGAAAAAAAAUAUUUAUUUCAACCGAAGACAUUUGGUAAUCUACAAGCCAACACUGGAUGUCAAUUCAUGAGGGAUGGAAGUGUACACACACACAAAACAAACAUCAGAUAUGUAAAAAAAAAAAAAAUUAACAUUACUGAGCAGAGUGAAUUCCCUGAUGUUGAAAUUCAUUUGUGGUGAGCAUUGGCUGAGAGUAGAUUCAUGCUGACGUACCCUGGUCAAUACCACUUUGGCCGACACUCUCAUUGUAUUGCAAACUUCAUAUCGUUCACACACACACACACACACACACACACACACACACACACACACACUCACACUCUUGUGCUUUUCAGUUGUCACAAAACAUUGUAUGACAUUCUCAUUUAGACUUAGUAUUUGGGAAAGCUUUUCUUCCCCCCCCCCCUCCCAAGUCCAGUACAUUUCUAAUAAUGGUGAAUAAAUAUUACCACAAUUAUUUAUCAUAUGGUGAAUUUUUUGGGGGGGCUGAACAUACCAAUCAAUCUGAAAGAAACUAGAGUACAAAAAAGUAACAAAAGACAAACAAUAAAUUAGAAUAGCUCAGGUUGUGGCACACAAGGGAUACGGUAUAUACAAACAAAGCACUUGAGGGAAGGACCAACAACAAUCAGUGUGAUAUUUUUAUCAGAUGGGUUCGAGGUCAGUGACUCUUCUUUCCUCAUCAAUACUGGUAUUAGUUUUAAUCCUCAUAAGUGAACCAAACCCCUAUUUCAUUAUUUACAUUUUCAACCAUGACAGAGGCAUCAAGAUGUAUCAACUGAAAACAAAUGAUUAAUUUGAUUAAUUAAAGGACAUUUUGAAGACUUCAUUUUCAAUUUUUCAAAUAUUUUCUACAGUCUAUUAACAUUCUUAAAAUAUCCUACCCUAAUCCAUAAACUACACCCCAGCCUACCCUAACCCAUACAGACUACACCCUAUCCUACGCUAACCCAUACAGACUACACCCUAUCCUACCCUAACCCAUAGAGACUACACCCUAGCCUACCCUAACCCAUAGAGACUACACCCUAUACCACCCUAACCCAUAGACUACACCCUAUACCACCCUAACCCAUAGACUACACCCUAUCCUACCCUAACCCAUAGAGACUACACCCUGGCCUACCCUAACCCACAGACUACACCCUAGCCUACCCUAACCCAUACAGACUACACCCUAGCCUACCCUAACCCAUACAGACUACACCCUAGCCUACCCUAACCCAUAGAGACUACACCCUAGCCUACCCUAACCCACAGACUACACCCUAUCCUACCCAAAACCAUAGAGACUACACCAUAUAUCCUACCCCAAACCAUAGACUACACCCUAUACUACCCUAACGCAUAGACUACACCAUAUAUCCUACCCCAAACCAUAGACUACACCUUAUUCUACCCUAACCCAUAGACUACACCCUAUCCUACCGCCAACCCAUAGACUACACCCUAUACUACCCUAACCCAUAGACUACACCCUAUACUACCCUAACCCAUAGACUACACCAUAUAUCCUACCCCAAACCAUAGACUACUCCCUAUCCUACCCCAACCCAUAGACUACACCCUAUAUUAGACUACACCAUAUACUACCCCAAACCAUAGAGGCUACACCAGCACAAUAUCAUACACACAUCAUGUUUAAAAUAAUGGAAAAUAUGCCUCUGAACCUGAACAAAAUGUCUUGGAGCUAAACAGUAGGAUGUUAACCUGUGUGUCAAUGGUAAUCAUACUGUCGUUGGUUUUGCACAAAACAUUGGAGUUGUCUAGGCAUCUUCAAUGACCCCAAGUCAUUUCAUAGACAAAAGAUAACAUUCGCUUUGAUAAGUUAUUCUUUACUCUUAGAAUGUGCAUGAGUUCAUGAACUCAGCCACGUGGUCAAGCUUUUACAGACAACUUGGAGUUUGGGUUCGCCUCGCUGCCAGAUCGCAACAUCGAAUGCUUUAUAGAUUCUGUUACCCACACCAGUACCCAGUCCUUAACCACCAGUAGCCAGCGCUGCACCACCAGUAGCCAGCGCUACACCACCAGUAGCCAGCCCUGUACCACCAGUAGCCAGCCCUGUACCACCAGUAGCCAGCCCUGUACCACCAGUAGCCAGCCCUGUACCACCAGUAGCCAGCCCUGUACCACCAGUAGCCAGCGCUACACCACCAGUAGCCAGCGCUGUACCACCAGUAGCCAGCGCUGUACCACCAGUAGCCAGCGCUGUACCACCAGUAGCCAGCGCUGUACCACCAGUAGCCAGCGCUGUACCACCAGUAGCCAGCGCUACACCACCAGUAGCCAGCGCUACACCACCAGUAGCCAGCAUUGUACCACAUAGCUAAAGGUCAUUUUACUGCACAGCAUAUACUCAUAUAGCCCAGGCUUAUUGAAAUCAAGUUUACCAAAACAUUUACAGUAGAAUGUCGAGUGAAAUGCCAGUUCAUGCCAUUUCAACAUCAGUUACUGUUCUAUUGAACAAUUAUCAUGAAAAUAAAGACAAGGAAUGGGAACUGGAACGACGUAAACAACAGCGAAGUAACAAUCACAUUUCCUAUUGGAGUGGAAUUCACUUGAGCCAGUCAAAAGCCAACAACAAAAAAAAUUACUUCUUGUCAGCAGAAAAAAAUAUCAUUCCAUAUGCGCUACAGACAUUUUGGCACCAAAGGGCCAUAGCAAGCCACUUCUCACAAAGGUGGUCACCCACCAUUCUGACCGCCAAACCAGACACAUAUAUAUAUAUAUAUAUACACACAUACAGUGGGGGGAAAAAGUAUUUGAUCCCCUGCUGAUUUUGUACAUUUGCCCACUGACAAAGAAUGGAUAAGUCUAUCAUUUUAAUGGUAGGUUUAUUUGAACAGUGAGAGACAGAAUAACAACACAAAUAUACAGAAAAACGCAUGUCAAAUGUUAUAAAUUGAUUUGCAUUUUAAUGAGGGAAAUAAGUAUUUGACCCCCUCUCAAUCAGAAAGAUUUCUGGCUCCCAGGUGUCUUUUAUACAGGUAACGAGCUGAGAUUAGGAGCACACUCAAAGGGAGUGCUCCUAACCGCAGCUUGUUACCUGUAAAAAAGACCUGUCCACAGAAGCAAUCAAUCAAUCAGAUUCCAAACUCUCCACCAUGGCCAAGACCAAAGAGCUCUCCAAGAAUGUCAGGGACAAGAUUGUAGACCUACACAAGGCUGGAAUGGGCUACAAGACCAUCGCCAAGCAGCUUGGUGAGGAAGGUGACAACAUUUGGUGCAAUUAUUCGCAAAUGGAAGAAACACAAAAGAACUGUCAAUAUCCCUCGGCAUUGGGCUCCAUGCAAGAUCUCACCUCGUGGAGUUGCAAUGAUCAUGAGAACAGUGAGGAACCAGCCCAGAACUACACAGGAGGAUCUUGUCAAUGAUCUCAAGGCAGCUGGGACCAUAGUCACCAAGAAAACAAUUGGUAACACACUACGCCGUGAAGGACUGAAAUCCUGCAGCGCCCGCAAGGUCGCCCGGCUCAAGAAUACAUAUACAUGCCCGUCUGAAGUUUGCCAAUGAACAUCUGAAUGACUCAGAGGACAACUGGUGAAAGUGUUGUGGUCAGAUGAGACCAAAAUGGAGCUCUUUGACAUCAACUCAACUCGCCGUGUUUGGAGGAGGAGGAAUGCUGCCUAUGACCCCAAGAACACCAUCUCCACCGUCAAACAUGGAGGUGGAAACAUUAUGCUUUGGGGGUGUUUUUCUGCUAAGGGGACAGGACAACUUCACCGCAUCAAAAGGGACGAUGGACGGGGCCAUGUACCGUCAAAUCUUGGGUGAGAACCUCCUUCCCUCAGCCAGGGCAUUGAAAAUGGGUCGUGGAUGGGUAUUCCAGCAUGACAAUGACCCAAAACACACAGCCAAGGCAACAAAGGAGUGGCUCAAGAAGAAGCACAUUAAGGUCCUGGGAGUGGCCUAGCCAGUCUCCAGAUCUUAAUCCCAUAGAAAAUCUGUGGAGGGAGCUGAAGGUUCGAGUUGCCAAACGUCAGCCUCGAAACCUUAAUGACUUGGAGAAGAUUUGCAAAGAGUGGGACAAAAUAUCUCCUGAGAUGUGUGCAAACCUGGUGGCCAACUACAAGCAACGUCUGACCUCUGUGAUUGCCAACAAGGGUUUUGCCACCAAGUACUAAGUCAUGUUUUGCAGAGGGGUCAAAUACUUAUUUCCUUCAUUAAAAUGCAAAUCAAUUUAUAACAUUUUUGACAUGCGUUUUUCAGGAUUUUUUUUAUGUUAUUCUGUCUCUCACUGUUCAAAUAAACCUACUAUUAAAAUUAUAGACUGAUCAUUUCUUUGUAAGUGGCCAAACGUACAAAAUCAGCAGGGGAUCAAAUACUUUCUCCCCCCCGACUGUAUACAUAUAAAGAAAUAUGUUAAUAAUAAAAAUAAAACAAAAAUCUACAUUUUGUACUUGUAGGUUCCAGACCUUUAAACACUGAAUUGACAAAACCCCACAGCCCUCCCCCAAAAUAAACUCUCACAUCAAAAAAUAAUGAUGGAAGAGAAGAAGUGUUUUACACUUUGAACUUGCAGAGAUGAGGAUCAUGCUUUUUGCGUCUGGCUUAAGUUGGAAGGGUGAGGUACACUAAAACUGAAGCGCUGCUGUCCUUUUGACUGUCGUCCUCCGUGGGAGGUGGGCGGAUGGACAGACAGACAGGCAGAGGGGGAGCAGCCUCAUUCCAAUGGAGUGACAAAAACUGUCUAUGUAUUUGUGGCGCGAGGAGAGUUGAGAGGGCUGGGGGGGUUGGGUGGGGGGUGGGGGGGUCGAUAGUGGGCUCAUUGGGAGGAGCAAAGGAGGACAGACAGAGCGGAAGGACGGGAGGAGGCGAACAUCAUCCCCUAGUCCAAUAUGGGGGAGGGAGGAUGACGGAAGCAGUCAUUGAAGGCAGACAUGAUGGAGACCAGGAUGAAAAACAACAUGAAGGAAC
rnacentral:lncRNA from 1 species